rnacentral:rRNA from 1 species
CCUACGGGGGGCUGCAGUGGGGAAUAUUGCACAAUGGGGGCAACCCUGAUGCAGCGACGCCGCGUGAAGGAAGAAGUAUCUCGGUAUGUAAACUUCUAUCAGCAGGGAAGAACACAGACGGUUCCUGACUAAGAAGCCCCGGCUAACUACGGGCCAGCAGCCGCGGUAAUACGUAGGGGGCAAGCGUUAUCCGGAUUUACUGGGUGGAAAGGGGGCGCCGACGGGCAUGGCAAGCCCGGUGUGAAAGCCAGGGGCAUAACCCCUGGACUGCACUGGGAACUGUCAGGCUGGAGUGCCGGAGGGGUAAGCGGAAUUCCUGGUGUAGCGGUGAAAUGCGUAGAUAUCAGGAGGAACACCGGCGGCGAAGGCGGCUUACUGGACGGCAACUGACGGUGAGGCGCGAAAGCGUGGGGAGCGAACAGGAUUAGAUACCCGAGUAGUC